rnacentral:rRNA from 1 species
GUGUCAGCCGCCGCGGUAAUACCGGCAGCCCGAGUGAUGGCCGAUUUUAUUGGGCCUAAAGCGUCCGUAGCUGGCCGGACAAGUCCGUUGGGAAAUCUGUUCGCUUAACGAGCAGGCGUCCAGCGGAAACUGUUCGGCUUGGGACCGGAAGACCUGAGGGGUACGUCCGGGGUAGGAGUGAAAUCCUGUAAUCCUGGACGGACCACCGGUGGCGAAGGCGCCUCAGGAGGACGGAUCCGACAGUGAGGGACGAAAGCUAGGGUCUCGAACCGGAUUAGAUACCCCCGUAGUCC